rnacentral:lncRNA from 1 species
CAGGAUACACAUCAGUUAAGAAAGGAGCAGACCCGUUUGGCCAUGGCAUGGUGUCUAUUCCAAUAUUCCGGUCCACAUCAGUUGACAUAGCGCUAGUCGCUCGGGAAAAGAAAAUCAAAUAACAGUGAAAAACAAGCAGAAGCUGGUGGAUCCCACAAAGAAAUGCAGCGGCAAGAAAUGAAGGUUGCCGUAUGUCAUUCUGAUGAUAUGUAGCAUGCUAAGAGC